rnacentral:lncRNA from 1 species
CAGAGAGACAAUGCCUCCUAUUGAACCAGCAGAGAAAAUCGUGUGACUCAUCUGAUUCCAUCAGUAGGCUUCUGUGGGGGAAUCCUGAAAAAAGGAUAUAGCUUGUCAUGGACUCUUUCUUCUGAUAAAGCUCGCUGUGCUGGAAACAUUAAUAGCCUACGACUUGCUUCCAGCUUUUCUCUCUUUCAGACACAAGAAAAUGGAAGUGGCAUUUCUGAGACCCCUGUGGCUGGGUGAGGCCUGUGACUAGCUCCAGACAAUGAAUUAUGAGCAGAGCUAACAUAUGUCAUUUCUGGGCUAAGCAUUGAAUUGCUGAUGUGAGACCUUCUAGAGCUCUCUUUUUCCUGUGGCAUGACAGUUGGCAAUUGAUACAAUGGCUGCUUUCUCAGUCUAGAUCCUGGGAGGAGAGAAGAUUUGGAGCAGAGCUCCUAGCCCAUCGUGAUGGAUAUAUAGCACAAGAGAGAAAUAAACUUUAUUACAACAAGCCACUAAGAAUUUAGGGUUGCUUAUUACAGAAGCAUUCCCUAGCCCAUCUUGACUGAUGUAGGUGUCUUGAAUAGCUCAACUACAUUUUAAAUCCCCAUUCUAAAAAUAAAAGUUGGGUCUAUUUGGUUCGAGUAUUUGUAUUAGUUCUGAUAAACAGACUAUGUACCUGACCUACAAAAUGGUGCCUGAAAAGGGCAUUUUCCUCUGUGGGUGUAAGCUACCUUUUUUACUCACAAAUAGGACCCUUCAUGUCCCGUGAUCAGUCCCCCAAAUGAACUAUCCCCUGAUUGAAACAAAGCCUUCACAAAGGUAGGGAGACUUCAGACAGCUUCAUAGGAAGUAGG